rnacentral:rRNA from 1 species
UACGGGGGGGGGCAAGCGUUGUUCGGAAUUACUGGGCGUAAAGGGCUCGUAGGCGGCCAACUAAGUCGGACGUGAAAUCCCCAGGCUCAACCUGGGAACUGCGUCUGAUACUGGAUGGCUUGAAUCCGGGAGAGGGAUGCAGAAUUCCAGGUGUAGCGGUGAAAUGCGUAGAUAUCAGGAGGAACACCGAUGGCGAAGGCAGGUCUCUGGGCAUUAACUGACGCUGAGGAGCGAAAGCAUGGGGAGCGAACAGG